CAAUCCCCGAGCAUUAUCUAUUUAUGAAGAGGGUUACUCCUAACCUCACAAAGGAGGGAACUGAGGCCCGGGACAGGAUUGACAUAGGAGGACGGAAUCGCUUCCACUGCAUCAAAGAACCGAGGCCAAUAUCCAGCUCUUCCAUGCUGAGCGUGUAUCCAGGAUGUGCCUGGUGGCACUGUGCCCACCACAUACCACCCAGGGAUGUGUAGGAGACUGGCAGGACACCACCUUGCAGAGCACACCUUCCAAUGGAUGGAGAGGAGCGUGAACUCCCUCUCACUCCUGUGAAGAUCAACUCUCUCUGAAUUAAUCUAGGUUCUUCUUGAGGCCACUGGUAUUUUUAGCGGGUGCCGCCUCUCCGUGAAGCAAAACUUCCCUUUAUUGGUCUUAAAUG